rnacentral:rRNA from 1 species
GACGAACGCUGGCGGCGUGCUUAACACAUGCAAGUCGAACGGAAAGGCCCUGCUUUUGUGGGGUGCUCGAGUGGCGAACGGGUGAGUAACACGUGAGUAACCUGCCCUUGACUUUGGGAUAACUUCAGGAAACUGGGGCUAAUACCGGAUAGGAGCUCCUGCUGCAUGGUGGGGGUUGGAAAGUUUCGGCGGUUGGGGAUGGACUCGCGGCUUAUCAGCUUGUUGGUGGGGUAGUGGCUUACCAAGGCUUUGACGGGUAGCCGGCCUGAGAGGGUGACCGGCCACAUUAGGACUGAGAUACGGCCCAGACUCCUACGGGAGGCAGCAGUGGGGAAUAAUGCACAAUGGGCGGAAGCCUGAUGCAGCAACGCCGCGUGCGGGAUGACGGCCUUCGGGUUGUAAACCGCUUUCGCCUGUGACGAAGCGUGAGUGACGGUAAUGGGUAAAGAAGCACCGGCUAACUACGUG